AUGGCGAGAGCCCUGAAAUACAGCUGGACAGCAGCGGUCUACAUCACUGCCCCUUCUGCAGAUACAAAGGGUCAAAAUGUGAUAUCGACCAUCACAUUAAAUGCCAUGCCUCGGUUAAAUACAGAGGUACAUUUUCUUAUUUUUUUAUUAUUAUUAUUUAUAUUAUUAUUGUUAUUAUAUAUUUGUAUGUAUGUAAUGUAUGCUGUUUACUCACCAAGGUCUGCAGAGGAGCUUUCAGGAAGCAGGAAGAGAAGACGGGAGGAAAAAAAGCUACAGGAAGAUUAUGUUGUCCUGAAGGACACAAUUCAGGCAGCAGCAUGGUGCCAGUUACAGUCCUUCAAGGACAGCGUUUCUCUCCCAGAGGUCAUUGGGAUGGAAGGUUGGGAGCAGAUGGCAGCAUCAACACAGCGCAAAUCCCAUGACGGCGGGGAUGAGGAAGAAACGUGGAAACCAUUCCAAUUCUCAUUCAGAUUACAUACUGACUAUGAACUGUUCUGUGUGGAGAUGAUGGACAGGAGAAACCUGAAGGUGUUUGCCUCUUUUGAGUCAAACACCUCUCCCCCUCCCCGUCCCCCUCCCCGUGACGCCUGCGCCACACGACUCCAAUGUAGUCUGAUGAUGCAGCAUAAUGGCGGCGCUUGGCAGCUAUGGCGGCGGUGACGGCGAUGUCGGGCGACAGAGCGUGAAGCAAGAGUGGCAUCCACCUCACUGAGGAAGGCGUCAGUGUGUUCCCCCUUUGUUGUUUGACUUUGUUUGUUCUACUCUUUAUUGAUUUAUCUUUUAUGUUAAUAGUUUACAAUCUAUUUUUUGUAGUUGUUAUUUUUUAAUUGUUUUGUUGAAUAAAAAGACAGUUGUUAGUGCUCCUGUGAUUGGUGUAACUUAAUGUGCUUCACACAUGUAGCUUUUCAUUAUGUCUAUUGAGGUACAUUUUUUGCCCUUAGAUGUGGUCACUUCGUUAUUCCUCACAUUACAUCUGUUAAGGUCAUACCUUUGGGUCCCAGUCUUCAUAGUUCCCCAAAUCUUAUUUUGGCUCUUACUGGGCCUGUAACUCACAGACAGACGGGUACAGGAGUUCGGACACGUUGCAUUGUUUACAGGCAAGGGUGGAUUACCGCACGGGCACACCGGGCACAUGCCCAGGGGCCCAAGGGCGGCCCUAAGCCAGAGCUUCUGUGUGAAGUCGCUGUUAGUAACUUUUAAUGUUGCAUUGUCAAAGCAAUCAGUAGAGAAAUACAAAAAUUCAAGCGAAAACGGCAAUAGUAGGGCUAUUAAUACUGAGUAAAAAAAAAAAAAAGAUCACUAGGGGGCACUGUUUCACUUAGUGAAUUUGAGACAGGUCACGAACAAGGCACUGUGAUUUAAACAUUGAGCAACGGCGAACGGUAGUAACGUGAACUCUUAAGUGGAACCUUAAUAGGUCCAUGAGUGGAACAGUUAAGCGAAAAAAAAAUAAACAAGAGAAUAUGUAUUUGCAAGUCGUUUAGGCUAUGCUUAACUUUAUAAUAGUUCCAUGGUACGCAGCAAGAAAGAUACCAAGUCACAAUACUCCCGUACCAUCUGUUUGUAUAGUUUAAUUAACAGCAUGGGCUCCCGCUAGCUUAACAUAGUAUUACCGUUUCUUGCAUUAACAAGAGCAGCAGAAAUCUGCUCAAUCGUCAGUGGUCGGAGUGCCCGCCCCCUCCAUGUGGACUGAGUGCCCGCCCCCUCCAUGUGGGCGGAGGGCCGGCCCCCUCCAUGUGGACUGAGUGCCCGCCCCCUCCAUGUGGGCUCCGUCUGCGGGCUGCAGUCAGGGGUACUUGGAUUCAUCCGGCUUAAUCAACACAAUUGCACUAUAUUACGGGUGUAGUAUGUUGAGGACAGUAUAGGACAGCUUAUCGACAAAGAAUCACACCGAAAUUAGUUGUUG
rnacentral:lncRNA from 1 species